rnacentral:lncRNA from 1 species
GGGAACUGAAGAGUAAAGGUCAUAUGAAUAAGGGUUGGGCUUAACAUCGAAUUAUUAUCUAUAGAUAAUAAAUAAAUGUAGGUGUUAAACGUUAAAAAGCUUCUAAAUGCUCAAUUGAACGUAACCAGUAAUUGUUUUAAUCCUAAUUAUUUUACUUUUUGUACAAAAUCCGGCAUAUAGGUUAAAAAAGUAAUUUUAAUGAAAAU